ACACCUGCUGGUCUCACCGCUAGGGCCUGGGCAUCACAGGCAGGGGGAAUGGGGAGGGGACGGUAGCGUCAGCCUACACCCACACGCAGUUUCCUGAUAAAAGGUCCUUUGGAAACUUUGAUUCUCUUCUCACCAAGUUGAACGGAGAUGUGUUCCCAUAGUAAGAGUGAGGCCCCUGCAUUUGCUGCCCUCGGUUUUCCCAACUAACACCAGGGCCUCCCCCCUGUACCCCAUUCAUAUGCCUCAGAAGCUGACAAUGACUGUUGGGCUUUUCCAAUGAAUACCAGAACACCAUUUCCUGCAGCCUGAAAAGAAGACAGUAUAAUUGUUUGGCAGCAAGAGACAGGAUCUCGCUGCGUUGCUCAGACUGGUCUCGAACUCCUGGGCUUAAGGGAUUCUCCUGCCUCAAUCACAGCCUCCCAAGUAGCUGAGAUUAAAAGUGCUCACCACCGUGCCAGCGAGUUCAGUUUUUGAGUGUCCUCCGACACUGACUCUGUGCUUGGCCCUGUGACUUGCUUUGGCCAAUGGUACAGCAGCAAACUUGAUGCAAACACAACUUGAAAAAGAAGAGGACAGCCAAGUCAUCCCAGCCAAGGCCACCCUGGACCAGCCAGCCUCUUGCCAAGCUGCCAGUGACCACAGAGUCCAAUUAACAACAGCCAGUCCUGGCCCAGGGUGGAGCCAAGACUCUGAGGAGAGGGCUGAACUGUGAACCUAGAAGUACCAUCUCCCCCUGCACACACCUUUGGUCAAGUUGACCCCAAGAAGAAGGACAAGUCCUCUGCACGGCGAUGAGGCCAUACACACAGUCUGUGGCCCGGCUUUGGGAGACUGAUGGGACAAAGGAUGUUUUGCACGAUCCUUGGUCUCUGAGCAAAUAUAUACAUGGGUUAACACAAA
rnacentral:lncRNA from 1 species